UGAGGAAUAUUGGACAAUGGGCGCAGGCCUGAUCCAGCCAUGCCGCGUGCAGGAAGACGGCCCUACGGGUUGUAAACUGCUUUUGUACGGGAAGAAUAAGGGCCACGUGUGGCCCGAUGACGGUACCGUAAGAAUAAGCACCGGCUAACUCCGUGCCAGCAGCCGCGGUAAUACGGAGGGUGCAAGCGUUAUCCGGAAUCAUUGGGUUUAAAGGGUCCGUAGGUGGACCUUUAAGUCAGUGGUGAAAUUCUGCGGCUCAACCGCAGGACUGCCAUUGAUACUGAAGGUCUUGAAUUGUUAUGAAGUAGCUAGAAUAUGUGGUGUAGCGGUGAAAUGCAUAGAGAUCACAUAGAAUACCGAUUGCGAAGGCAGGCUACUAAUAAUUGAUUGACACUGAGGGACGAAAGCGUGGGGAGCGAACA
rnacentral:rRNA from 1 species